rnacentral:rRNA from 2 species
GCCCUUAGAGUUUGAUCAUGGCUCAGAUUGAACGCUAGCGGUAAGCUUAACACAUGCAAGUCGAGCGGCAACAUGUAAAUAAUUUUUUAUUUAUGAAUGGCGAGCGGCAAACGGGUGAGUAAUAUCUGGGAAUCUACCUUAUGGAGGGGGACAACUAUUAGAAAUAAUAGCUAAUACCGCGUAAUAUUUUUUUUUAAUUUUAUUAAUUAAAAAUUAAAGUAGGGGAUUUAAUUUUUUAUUAAAUUAAACCUUAUGCCAUUUGAUGAGCCCAGACGAGAUUAAUUAGUAGGUAAGGUAAUUGCUGUACCUAGAUUAUGAUCUCUAGCUGGUCUGAGAGGACGAUCAGCCACACUGGAACUGAGACACGGUCCAGACUUCUACGGAAGGCAGCAGUGAGGAAUAUUGCACAAUGGGGGAAACCCUGAUGCAGCUAUAUCGCGUGUGUGAAGAAGGUCUUAGGAUUGUAAAGCACUUUCAGUAAGGGAAAAAGUUAAUAUAAUUAAUACUUAUAUUAAUUGAUAUUACCUACAAAAGAAGUACCGGCUAACUCCGUGCCAGCAGCCGCGGUAAUACGGAGGGUGCAAGCGUUAAUCGGAAUUAUUGGGCGUAAAGAGUACGUAGGUGGUAUAUUAAGUCAGAUGUGAAAUACUUAAGCUUAACUUAAGAACUGCAUUUGAAACUAGUAAACUAGAGUUUAUAGAGGGGAGUAGAAUUCCAAGUGUAGCGGUGAAAUGCGUAGAUAUUUGGAGGAAUACCAGAGGCGAAGGCGACUCCCUAGGUAAAAACUGACACUGAGGUACGAAAGCUUGGGGAGCAAACAGGAUUAGAUACCCUGGUAGUCCAUGCUGUAAACGAUGUCAAUUAAAAAAUUGUAAUAUUUUUGUUUUUAUAAUUUUUGUAGCUAACGCGUUAAAUUGACCGCCUGGGGAUUACGACCGCAAGGUUAAAACUCAAAUGAAUUGACGGGGGCCCGCACAAGCGGUGGAGCAUGUGGUUUAAUUCGAUACAACGCGAAGAACCUUACCUACUCUUGACAUUUAAAAGUAAUAAAAUAGAGAUAUUUUAGUAUCUGUUUACAGAAUCUUUUAAACAGGUGCUGCAUGGCUGUCGUCAGCUCGUGUUGUGAAAUGUUGGGUUAAGUCCCUUAACGAGCGCAACCCUUAUUCUUUAUUGCCAGCGUAAAGUCGGGAACUUUAAGAAAACUGCCAAUAUAAAAAAUUGGAGGAAGGUGAGGACGACGUCAAGUCAUCAUGGCCUUUAUGAGUAGGGCUACACACGUGCUACAAUGGUAUAUACAAAAAGAAGCAAAUUCGCGAGAAUGAGCAAAUCUAUAAAAUAUAUCACAGUCCGGAUUGGAGUCUGCAACUCGACUCCAUGAAGUAGGAAUCGCUAGUAAUCGUAAAUCAGAAUGUUACGGUGAAUAUGUUCUCGGGCCUUGUACACACCGCCCGUCACACCAUGGAAGUGAAUUGCAAAAGAAGAAAAUAUUCUUAAUCAGUAAUGAAGAGAUUUUUCCACUUUGUGUUUCAUAACUGGGGUGAAGUCGUAACAAGGUAACCGUAAAGGGC